AUUGAACGCUGGCGGCAUGCUUUACACAUGCAAGUCGAACGGUAACAGGCCUUCGGGUGCUGACGAGUGGCGAACGGGUGAGUAAUGCAUCGGAACGUGCCCAGAGGUGGGGGAUAACGCAGCGAAAGCUGUGCUAAUACCGCAUGUGAUCUGAGGAUGAAAGCGGGGGACCAGGCAGCAAUGUUUGGCCUCGCGCCUUUGGAGCGGCCGAUGUCAGAUUAGGUAGUUGGUGGGGUAAAGGCCUACCAAGCCGACGAUCUGUAGCUGGUCUGAGAGGACGACCAGCCACACUGGGACUGAGACACGGCCCAGACUCCUACGGGAGGCAGCAGUGGGGAAUUUUGGACAAUGGGCGCAAGCCUGAUCCAGCAAUGCCGCGUGCGGGAAGAAGGCCUUCGGGUUGUAAGCCGCUUUUGUACGGAACGAAAAGGCUCUGGCUAAUACCUGGGGCUGAUGACGGUACCGUAAGAAUAAGCACCGGCUAACUACGUG
rnacentral:rRNA from 1 species